rnacentral:rRNA from 1 species
GACGAACGCUGGCGGCGUGCUUAACACAUGCAAGUCGAACGGAAAGGCCCUGCUUUUGUGGGGUGCUCGAGUGGCGAACGGGUGAGUAACACGUGAGUAACCUGCCCUUGACUUUGGGAUAACUUCAGGAAACUGGGGCUAAUACCGGAUAGGAGCUCCUGCUGAAUGGUGGGGGUUGGAAAGUUUCGGCGGGUGGGGAUGGACUCGCGGCUUAUCAGCUUGUUGGUGGGGUAGUGGCUUACCAAGGCUUUGACGGGUAGCCGGCCUGAGAGGGUGACCGGCCACAUUGGGACUGAGAUACGGCCCAGACUCCUACGGGAGGCAGCAGUGGGGUAUAGUGCACAAUGGGCGGAAGCCUGAUGCAGCAACGCCGCGUGCGGGAUGACGGCCUUCGGGUUGUAAACCGCUUUCGCCUGUGACGAAGCGUGAGUGACGGUAAUGGGUAAAGAAGCACCGGCUAACUACGUG